GUUUAUUCUCAGGGCGGGGUGAAACUCCCCACCGGCGGUAAAUCAGCCAUGGCGCUGAAAGCCCGCGAGCGCUCCGGAGUGAUGUCCGGAGGUCAGCAGAUCCGGUGUAAUUCCGGGGCCGACGGUCAUAGUCCGGAUGGGAGAGAGUAACU
rfam:Shimwellia blattae DSM 4481 = NBRC 105725, complete genome.